GAUCAUGGCUCAGAACGACGCUGGCGGCAGGCCUAACACAUGCAAGUCGAGCGAGGACUUCGGUCCUAGCGGCGGACGGGUGAGUAACGCGUGGGAACGUGCCCUUUGGUACGGAAUAGCCCCGGGAAACUGGGAGUAAUACCGUAUGGUGUCUUCGGACUAAAGAUUUAUCGCCAAAGGAUCGGCCCGCGUUGGAUUAGGUAGUUGGUGGGGUAAUGGCCUACCAAGCCGACGAUCCAUAGCUGGUUUGAGAGGAUGAUCAGCCACACUGGGACUGAGACACGGCCCAGACUCCUACGGGAGGCAGCAGUGGGGAAUCUUAGACAAUGGGGGCAACCCUGAUCUAGCCAUGCCGCGUGAGUGAUGAAGGCCCUAGGGUUGUAAAGCUCUUUCAGCUGGGAAGAUAAUGACGGUACCAGCAGAAGAAGCCCCGGCUAACUCCGUG
rnacentral:rRNA from 1 species